UGUUCAUCCCAUGUCUAAAAAAUCUCCAAGAGUCUCUCUUUCUACUAGUAGAUGUUCAAAGUCUUUAGAUUUUCAAAUAAUUCUUUCUCCAGAAGUAUGUACUGAUUGUAAUUCAAGUCUAAUUCAAGAAGGUAAUUCCGAUACAAAAGGGAAUGGUCCGACUUGAUCGCAACGCAUCCACUCCUGUUCCGCAUUUUCUUUACGAUUUGAAUUUGUACUCUGAUGAUUAUACUCUUUUGACAUACUAAGUUUGGGUUUGUUAUGAAUAAUUGAUGGGUUUUUAUUAAAUUAAAAAUGAAAUUUUUAUCCA